rnacentral:rRNA from 1 species
GACGAACGCUGGCGGCGUGCUUAACACAUGCAAGUCGAACGGAAAGGCCCUGCUUUUGUGGGAUGCUCGAGUGGCGAACGGGUGAGUAACACGUGAGUAACCUGCCCUUGACUUUGGGAUAACUUCAGGAAACUGGGGCUAAUACCGGAUAGGAGCUCCUGCUGCAUGGGGGGGGUUGGAAAGUUUCGGCGGUUGGGGAUGGACUCGCGGCUUAUCAGCUUGUUGGUGGGGUAGUGGCUUACCAAGGCUUUGACGGGUAGCCGGCCUGAGAGGGUGACCGGCCACAUUGGGACUGAGAUACGGCCCAGACUCCUACGGGAGGCAGCAGUGGGGAAUAUUGCACAAUGGGCGGAAGCCUGAUGCAGCAACGCCGCGUGCGGGAUGACGGCCUUCGGGUUGUAAACCGCUUUCGCCUGUGACGAAGCGUGAGUGACGGUAAUGGGUAAAGAAGCACCGGCUAACUACGUG